rnacentral:rRNA from 1 species
GACAGAGGUGCCGAGCGUUAGGCGGAAUCACUGGGCUUAAAGCGUGUGUAGGCGGACCGUUAAGUACCUUGUGAAAUCCCACGGCUCAACCGUGGAACGGCUGGGUAUACUGGCGGUCUUGGGCCACUCAGGGGCGAGCGGAACAAGUGGUGGAGCGGUGAAAUGCGUAGAUAUCACUUGGAACGCCGACGGUGAAAACAGCUCGCUGGGGGUGUGCUGACGCUGAGACACGAAAGCCAGGGGAGCGAACGGG